rnacentral:rRNA from 2 species
CCUACGGGAGGCAGCAGUGGGGAAUAUUGCACAAUGGGCGAAAGCCUGAUGCAGCUAUGCCGCGUGUAUGAAGAAGGCCUUAGGGUUGUAAAGUACUUUCAGCGGGGAGGAAGGUGGUGAACUUAAUACGUUCAUCAAUUGACGUUACUCGCAGAAGAAGCACCGGCUAACUCCGUGCCAGCAGCCGCGGUAAU